AAUCAACGCUGGCGGCGUGCCUCAGACAUGCAAGUCGAACGCGAAAGUUUCCUUCGGGGAACAAGUAGAGUGGCGCACGGGUGAGUAACACGUAGGUAAUCUACCUUUGGAUGGGGAAUAACAACCGGAAACGGUUGCUAAUACCGCAUAAUGCAGCGGCACCUAAUGGUGACAGUUGUUAAAGCGGGGGAUCGAAAGACCUCGCGUCUGAAGAGGAGCCUGCGGCGGAUUAGCAGUUGGUAAGGUAAUGGCUUACCAAGGCGACGAUCCGUAACCGGCCUGAGAGGGCGGUCGGUCACACUGACACUGACAUACGGGUCAGA
rnacentral:rRNA from 1 species